GCUACAGGCUUAACACAUGCAAGUCGAGGGGUAGCAGGGUAGCAAUACCGCUGACGACCGGCGCACGGGUGAGUAACACGUAUCCAACCUUCCCAUAACUCGGGGAUAGCCUUUCGAAAGAAAGAUUAAUACCCGAUAGUACUUAAGAAAGGCAUCUUUUUUUAAGUUAAAGAUUUAUUGGUUAUGGAUGGGGAUGCGUUCCAUUAGAUAGUUGGUGAGGUAACGGCUCACCAAGUCUUCGAUGGAUAGGGGUUCUGAGAGGAAGGUCCCCCACAUUGGUACUGAGACACGGACCAAACUCCUACGGGAGGCAGCAGUGAGGAAUAUUGGUCAAUGGGCGAGAGCCUGAACCAGCCAAGUAGCGUGAAGGAUGACGG
rnacentral:rRNA from 1 species